GACGAACGCUGGCGGCGUGCUUAACACAUGCAAGUCGAACGAAGUGGCGAACGGGUGAGUAACGGGUAAACAACCUGCCCUUCAUCGGGGGACAACAGUUGGAAACGACUGCUAAUACAGCAUACUGAAGGAGGGGAUUGCGUCUGAUUAGUUAGUUGGAGGGGUAACGGCCCAACAGGGCGAUGAUCAGUAGCCGGUCUGAGAGGAUGAACGGCCACAGUGGGACUGAGACACGGCCCAGACUCCUACGGGAGGCAGCAGUGGGGAAGCUUCCGCAAUGGACGAAAGUCUGACGGAGCAACGCCGCGUGAGUGAUGACGGCCUUCGGGUUGUAAAGCUCUGUUAAUCGGGACGCGGUACCGGAAUAGAAAGCCACGGCUAACUACGUGCCAGCAGCCGCGGUAAUAC
rnacentral:rRNA from 1 species